ensembl:lncRNA
GUAUUUAUUUAAAGGCCUAUCCCUUGUUGGUAUUUAUUUAAAGGCCUAUCCCUUGUUGGUAUUUAUUUAAAGGCAUAUGUUUGGUCUGUAGUUGAGUGAGGCUAGUUCCUGCUGUGUCCCAUGGUCUGGACUUUACAUCUCUGGCUCUGGUGGUCCAUUGUGUGUGAUACGUCUCUUAACUUCUGAACAUGUCUUAUGUUUCUUAAGGAGGCUAGGAAGACGCAUGAAGCCAGCUUCAAUGUGUUCAGCAUGUUUCAGCAGAGACUCUCUACUUAUUUAGUCGUCUCCCUCUCUCCUUCUCUUGUUGUCUCCUCUCUCCUUCUUUAGUUGUCUCCUCUCUCCUUCUUUAGUUGUCUCCCUCUCUCCUUCUUUAGUUGUCUCUUCUCUCCUUCUUUAAUUGUCUCCUCUCUCCUUCUUUAGUCGUCUCCCUCUCUCCUUCUUUAGUUAUCUCCCUCUCUCCUACCUUAGGUUGUUUCCUCUCUCCUUCUUUAUUAUCUCCCUCUCUCCUUAUUUAGUUAUCUCCCUCUCUCCUUCUUUAGUCGUCUCCCCCUCUCCUUCUUUAGUUAUCUCCCUUUCUCCUUCUUUAGUUAUCUCCCUCUCUCCUUCUUUAGUCGUCUCCCCCUCUCCUUCUUUAGUUAUCUCCCUCUCUCCUUAUUUAGUUGUCUCCCUCUCUCCCUCUCUCCUUCAUUUACUCUGUUGAACAGACAUACACAAAAUGCCUACACACAUUUCUAUAGCGAAAUGUACAUGUUUCGUACAUCAAAGGAAUGAGAAAAUAACAACAAUGAAUGUGUAAUAAACAACAAAACCAGAGGCAAAUCAACAGAGCUGGUUUCCCAUGGCAACGGGCGGGGAGCAGUAAUCUGAGAGCUGGUUUCCCACGGCAACGGGCGGGGAGCAGUAAUCUGAGAGCUGGUUUCCCAUGGCAAUGGGCGGGGAGCAGUAAUCUGAGAGCUGGUUUCCCAUGGC